rnacentral:lncRNA from 1 species
UGUGUCAUGCAGCUGCUAUGGGGGGAUGGAGGAGGAGUGGCAUUGGCAAUUCAAGACUGCCUUUCCUACCCUUUUCAGUGCCUCUUUCAGUGAUACGAAGCUAAAACCAGAUACUGCUUUCAUAGUACUUUUCUGACCACGGUUUUCUGGAGUUUUUUCGUAUGGAGUUUGUAAGCUUCCUGACAUGUUAUUUUUGGCAGAUUUUGAUGGAUGUACAUUGAUGGAUAGCCACGUGGAUCCAGAAAAUAAAGACUUCUACUCUGCAUUUGACUAAAGCAGAAGAUAUGCAAGGAAGCUCAGUCUCUCAAUUGAGUGGAUUCUGAAAUUUAUCCUGUUGUCUUCAGCUACUAAGGCUAAUUUGCAAAUCACACUGUGCACGGAAACAACCUGUUCAGUGGCUGCUGAUUAACUCCCCAAGAUUGAUGUACUGAAGAAGGAUGACCUCCCCUUGACACCAAUGCUACUAGUCAAUAACGACCACUGUGACUCAGAACAAAUUCUCUGGGGGCAGGCAGUGAAGCUUCUUCUCUUGUUGACCUUACCAGACCACAAGGCUGAAAAUAUUCUGUGGCCUGAUGCCCUUAAAUUGAUCAUAUUAAUACAAUCAAGCAGAAAAGAAAUUAAUUUUCCCUCUCUCUCUCUGUCUAUAUAUAUACUUACUACUAUAUAUAUGUGUGUAUAUAUAUGCUAUAUAUGUGUGUGUAUAUAUAUAGCAGUACAUAUAGAUAUAAUUAGUAUAUAUAGAAGUAGUAAAUAUAUAAAAAUAUA